GCCCUGACGGCGCUCCCGGGAGCAGCCGGUGCGCGGCGGCGGCACGACCCCCUGCGCCUCCGAGGCAGACGAGCCCAUCGGGAGAAGGCGAGGCAGGGAAGUGCCUAAACCAACGGGAUAGGAUUCAAAACUAGGUGACAAACUCAUGAGAAAUCCAACCUGGCUGAAUGUCUGAGAGGCUGCUACUGUAUCAACAUCACAAGAUAAAGCACUCUGGUAUCACCUGCCCAUAUCCUCCUUAGUGUCACCCAAGACAUUUGACUCUGAUGUGGUUAAUUGAUAACUUUUCUUGCUCCACUUUACAAUGUUUUGUUUCCUACAUCUUAUUACCUUGGGACACAAAAGUGGCAGAGUUGUUGAGAGCUGAUGACAAUAAAAAGGAGAACACUAGAGGAAAUGAGACAGGAAAGAAAGCCAAAGCUGAUUUUCCAACUCUAUGCUGACUCCAACCUGCAGAAAAAGCUGAAUAUAGAAAUCUUCUUCCAUAUAUGAUGAAGUCACUCCACUUACGACAUAACACACAAAGGAAUCACCUGGCUUUUUUUUUUUAACCCAGAAGAGUUGUGCUGGGGACCAUGCCCCAUCCCGCUGAUACAGAUCCUGAAUGGAAUAAUCAGGAAUGGCACAGUGCAGGUGUCAAUAUCAAAGUAAGGCCGCAGAAUUUUUGAGAGGACCCUCCAAAUACUGAGAACUUCUGUUGCACUCGAAACAGUCUCCUGGAUUUCUAUAUUUUUAUGUGAAGGGCUCUUAUUGAUGUCCCCCAGAAUCCAGACUCAGACCUAUUUCUCCAAAAAGGUCCAAUUGGGUUGCUACAUAGUAGCAAGGGUUUAUCUUCAUGCUCACCUAGCAUUCCAGGCCCC
rnacentral:lncRNA from 1 species